rnacentral:rRNA from 1 species
UGCAGUCGAGCGGACAGAAGGGAGCUUGCUCCCGGAUGUUAGCGGCGGACGGGUGAGUAACACGUGGGUAACCUGCCUGUAAGACUGGGAUAACUCCGGGAAACCGGAGCUAAUACCGGAUAGUUCCUUGAACCGCAUGGUUCAAGGAUGAAAGACGGUUUCGGCUGUCACUUACAGAUGGACCCGCGGCGCAUUAGCUAGUUGGUGGGGUAAUGGCUCACCAAGGCGACGAUGCGUAGCCGACCUGAGAGGGUGAUCGGCCACACUGGGACUGAGACACGGCCCAGACUCCUACGGGAGGCAGCAGUAGGGAAUCUUCCGCAAUGGACGAAAGUCUGACGGAGCAACGCCGCGUGAGUGAUGAAGGUUUUCGGAUCGUAAAGCUCUGUUGUUAGGGAAGAACAAGUGCGAGAGUAACUGCUCGCACCUUGACGGUACCUAACCAGAAAGCCACGGCUAACUACGUGCCAGCAGCCGCGGUAAUACGUAGGUGGCAAGCGUUGUCCGGAAUUAUUGGGCGUAAAGGGCUCGCAGGCGGUUUCUUAAGUCUGAUGUGAAAGCCCCCGGCUCAACCGGGGAGGGUCAUUGGAAACUGGGAAACUUGAGUGCAGAAGAGGAGAGUGGAAUUCCACGUGUAGCGGUGAAAUGCGUAGAGAUGUGGAGGAACACCAGUGGCGAAGGCGACUCUCUGGUCUGUAACUGACGCUGAGGAGCGAAAGCGUGUGGAGCGAACAGGAUUAGAUACCCUGGUAGUCCACGCCGUAAACGAUGAGUGCUAAGU